UUUGAUGAUGAAGGAAGCACAUGUGUUUUAGGCUGAUAAGCCUCCAUUUGACAUCAGCCCUCCUGCUAUUUAUUGUUAUGGCCGGUGCUUGAAGAGGAAGAAAAAAGUACAGAACUCCCUAAUGAAGGAUUUUAUGAAAUCCCUAUGGAUAAAUAUGAAAUGCUUCUGGAACCAAGACGGCUGAAAAGAAGACUGCAGCCGUUGUAGAGCUAGAAAGGUACAUUGAGCUUCUUCAAAAAGAUUCCUGCUGCAACCCUGGGGCAAGGGCUUUUCAUCUUUUGCUCUUGACAAAAAUGUAAAAGUCAUUUUGAAAGUCAACUCCCAUGUGUCAUUCAUGACAAUAGAAGUGGUUUUUACACCUAAUAUGACCAGUGUGUUAUU